rnacentral:rRNA from 1 species
UACAGAGGUCCCGAGCGUUGUUCGGAUUCACUGGGCGUAAAGGGCGCGUAGGCGGCGUGGUAAGUCACUUGUGAAAUCUCUGAGCUUAACUCAGAACGGCCAAGUGAUACUGCUGUGCUAGAGUGCAGAAGGGGCAAUCGGAAUUCUUGGUGUAGCGGUGAAAUGCGUAGAUAUCAAGAGGAACACCUGAGGUGAAGACGGGUUGCUGGGCUGACACUGACGCUGAUGCGCGAAAGCCAGGGGAGCAAACGGG